GGAAUUGAGAAUACGUUGGAGCAAUACUUCACAUUUUUGAAGUAAAAUGAUCUCCAAACCAGAAUUCUAUACCCAGCCAAACUACCAAUGAGGAAGCUACCAGAGGAUGUGCUUCACCCAAACAAGGGAGUAAACCAAGAAGAGGGAAACAGAGAACACUGGACUUAAGAAAUCCAACAAUGAGAAGCAAAGGGAAUCUCCUGGAUGAUGAUAAAGAGAGAGCCCAGGAUGAAAGCUGUAUGCCAGGGAAAGUCCUGAUUAGACCAUGUGACAAGUCUUCAGGAAAGACUGCUUCUGGAUGAUAAAAUGAACUGAAUACCUGUUAAGAGACUUGGGGGGUCAAAUUUGCAAUAAGUACCAAACAAAGAAGAUUAAAAAAUGAUAAGUCCCAAGGGAAACAAUAUGUUGUAAAGAAAAAGUAGCUAUAGUUUGUUCAUGACAUAACUGUAACUUGCCUUGUACAUGAUAAUAUAAACACCGAAUCUUCCUCACUUUGUGAAAGAACAAUAUUGGGCAAAUGCGCAGGUUUUGGAAAGUUCCAUGUGUAGGGGGAUGGAGGGAGAAAUUAGCAAAAUCCUCCUUUUCUAUAGCUAAUACCUAUAAAGUGCUACAACACCCAG
rnacentral:lncRNA from 1 species